CCAGACUCCUACGGGAGGCAGCAGUGGGGGAUAUUGCACAAUGGGGGAAACCCUGAUGCAGCGACGCCGCGUGAGUGAAGAAGUAAUUCGUUACGUAAAGCUCUAUCAGCAGGGAAGAAAAUGACGGUACCUGACUAAGAAGCCCCGGCUAACUACGUGCCAGCAGCCGCGGUAAUACGUAGGGGGCAAGCGUUGUCCGGAAUGACUGGGCGUAAAGGGAGUGUAGGCGGCCUUGUAAGUUAGAUGUGAAAUCCUACGGCUUAACCGUAGAACUGCAUCUAAAACUGUGAGGCUGGAGUGCAGGAGAGGUGAGUGGAAUUCCUAGUGUAGCGGUGGAAUGCGUAGAUAUUAGGAGGAACACCAGAGGCGAAGGCGACUCACUGGACUGUAACUGACGCUGAGGCUCGAAAGCGUGGGGAGCAAACAGGAUUAGAUACCCUCGUACAU
rnacentral:rRNA from 1 species